GGUUAUGGCUCAGUGGUAGAGUGCUUGCCUGGCACAUGCGAGGCCCUGGGUUCGAUCCUCAGCACCA
rnacentral:tRNA from 1 species